UACGGAGGAUCCAAGCGUUAUCCGGAAUUACUGGGCGUAAAGAGUUGCGUAGGUGGCAUAGUAAGUAGAACGUGAAAGCGUACGGCUCAACCGUAUAAACAUGUUCUAAACUGCUAAGCUAGAAUAUAGAAGAGGUAGCUGGAAUUCCUUGUGUAGGAGUGAAAUCCGUAGAUAUAAGGAGGAACACCGAUGGCGUAGGCAGGCUACUGGUCUAUUAUUGACACUAAGGCACGAAAGCGUGGGGAGCAAACGGG
rnacentral:rRNA from 1 species